CAACUCACGACCCUGACGAUUAGUACGCUAAUAUUACGACAAUGUUCGUGAUCGCGUGUCAAGUCGAAGUGUUCUGGUUCGGAAGUGGACGCAUAUCCAAAAGAGGAAACCCUAUGAUAACCAGAAAGUUUUAUAGGGAUGAAGACUUCAGCCAUGUAGGAGGUGUUUAGGAAAUGAUUACGUGACUUUUAUUUUAAAAUUUAAUUUGUAUUUUCUAAAUGGAAGGACACUCUCCGCAACGUGAAAAUGCGAUUUCGUCACAUAAAAUGUUCGG